rnacentral:misc_RNA from 1 species
UUUCCGUAGGUGAACCUGCGGAAGGAGCAUUAUUGUAUAACCGAGGUACAAGGGCUGUCGCUGACCCGAAAGGACGUGCACGCCCGAGGGCCCUCACACACAUCCAUCUCACCCCUAUGUGCACCACCGCGUGGGUCCCCCUUUGGCUUGUUCGGAGGGGGGCUUACGUUUUCACACAAACUUUGUAUGCAGUGUAGAAUGUAUUUUUUGUUUUUGCGAUCACGCAAUCAAUACAACUUUCAACAACGGAUCUCUUGGCUCUC